UACAGAGGGGGCAAGCGUUAUUCGGAAUUACUGGGCGUAAAGGGCGCGUAGGCGGUUCUUUAAGUCGGAUGUGCAAUCCCCGAGCUCAACUUGGGAACUGCAUCCGAAACUGGGGAGCUAGAGUGCUGGAGAGGGUGGUGGAAUUCCACGUGUAGCGGUGAAAUGCGUAGAGAUGUGGAGGAACACCAGUGGCGAAGGCGGCCACCUGGACAGUAACUGACGCUGAGGCGCGAAAGUGUGGGUAGCAAACAGGAUUAGAUACCCUGGUAGUCCACGCUGUAAACGAUGAACACUUGGUGUGGUGGGAGUUGACCCCUGCCGUGCCGGAGCUAACGCGUUAAGUGUUCCGCCUGGGGAGUACGGUCGCAAGGCUGAA
rnacentral:rRNA from 1 species